CCCCUUCUGUUCCAUCCUGUAAGAGAUAAAAAGGGCACUCAGAAAGUAAGCCACCAUUCAAAGCAAGUGUGGGUCAGCCCCAAAUACUGAUCACAGGGACAAAAAAAACCCCAAACAACCCUGACCCAAAUGCAUGUGUUGGCUCUAAAUUUAUAAUGCACUCUGUUACACAGGUAUCAUGUUUGUCUGGAGAUCAAAGAGUUCGGAGGAAGUUCUUUGUCAAUCAGUGUUAUUUAUGAUGUGGUCAUAAAUCUUACCGCCGUAGCCUUCACUGAGCAAAUACGCACUCACUGACGGGUGAUCUGGAGGAAUAUUUUCCUGAUACUGAAGAAGAUUCUUGUUAAAAUGAAGGGAAAUAGAUGAUGGCAUUCCAUGCGUUCCACAAGUACUGAAGAUAAGCAACAGAAGAACUGAAGAUUUGGGGCUGAAUGUGCAUAGAAGUACAUGCAUUCAAGUCCUGGGUUAACAACUUUUCCAAACGUCAUGAGAGCAGCAGUUUGGAGACACAGGACAAAUGCUCCUCCAAAGAGGUGGAGGAAGAGAAGAAAACCCUUCCCAUCUGCACUGAGAGCAUGGGAGCCAAGUUUCUGCCUGGAACGAUCUGAGGGGCUGAUGUACAGUUAUCCAGAAAUACAGCAUUUCAUCAUCUACUUCAAAGGACUACCACGGAAAGAGAGCAAAAGUUUCAGGUCACACUCCAGAGGAAGAAUUCGCUUUUCCUUCGUCAUUCAAAAACUUACUAAGGGGCGUAAUACUAUUCCAGAGCCAAGGCACCAGGAGGAAUUCAUCAUAUUGUUAAUUCUUUCCGUUGGUAAGACUCGUCUUUCACCGCGCCAUGUAAAUAGGCAUAAAUACAGAUCAAAAAGGAUUACUCUUAAAUGGAAUCUGCAAUCUAUAUUCAGUUCUUUAGGCACAAGGAAAAUACCUGUAUAGGAAGAACACAUCUU
ensembl:lncRNA